rnacentral:misc_RNA from 1 species
UAUCAAUGCAAAUUGAUCACUUAUGUUACAAAAACAUUGUAUCAACCAUAAGCUGUGCUAUAAAACCUUUUAAUGGUACAUACAUUAAGGAUUCUUAAUAGUACUUGGUUGCUAGUGCAUCUUGGAGUCUUGAAUUGGCUUAAUGCUGCUCCAUUUCCAAUAAAAUGUUCCAAAAUCUUCUUGAAAGUACCUCUUUCCACAAUGCAAAGUUCUAAUGGUCCAAUUGAAUUUGUUUUUCUUGAUACAACAUAUCCAUGAUCAACAAAAGAUGCAUCCAUCUCCCUACAACACUCUCCAAAAACAUUUUCAUCAACAUCACCUUUGAUUUCCCAAUAGAUCACAUAAUGGCCUGGUCUUUUUGAUACAUUUGCAUGGCUUGUGAAGUCUACUAGCUCAGCUCUUGACUUGCUUAUUAGUAUUCGCGAACCUCUCUCCACCACUAACUGAAGGUCCUGUUCAGUAUUCUUAUCGAUGUUUACUGUUAAUAUCAGCUUUCUCCUGCAUAUAAAGUUGAGUUUGGGGGUCUUCUUGUGGAAACCAGCAACUUCUACUACAUCCCCUAGUCUAUACCGAUAAAGACCUGUGAAAGUAGUGAGGACAAUUUCAUAUUCUUGUCCUAUCUUGACUUGAGAUAAGGGAACAGGCUCAUCUUCAAUAAAAUCAUCAUUUGCUAGAAGAUUAGCAUCUUUGUGGCUAUUAUUGUAACUUUGAGACUUACUUCUAUGUAGUGGUAUGAAUUCAAAGUAAGAAAAAGUGGGUAUAAUUGCAAAAGUUACUUUCUCUGGUGGAGAUGAAGGUUCCACAUUCACUCCAAUCCAACUCUCUGUGGACCCAUAAUCAGCACUAACCAAAGGCAAAUCCCCACAAUAAUGUCUUAAUUUGUUCAAGUAUGGUUGCAUUGAGCCUGUCAUUAUUGUGUAAACAUAUUUAACAUUUGGCCAUAAUUUUGGGAUUAUACUAACCCAAUUUUCCUUUUCUACUUCUUCACAUAUUGAUUCAAUUCUUGAUGCCAACUCUGGAUUAGGGACAAUCAUACCUAAUAGGACUUUUCGAACUUUGGUUAUGUUGAUUCUUGAAGUAAGAGUACCUUCUCUUAUAUCAUGACACAAUUCCUUCCACAACUCUUCAAAUGAUCUGAAUGCUUGAACUAUACUAUAUGCAAAAGUUGAUGUGACAAAUUCAAUCUCAUCACAAUAAUAUAAACCAAGAAGUAGAUGACAAUAUGUUGAUUGUUUAUAAUCUCCACUUGAAAUAACUUCCUCAGGGCUACAAGUAAAAGACUUUGUGUGUUGUUGUUUAAUCUUGAAUUCUUCACUAGCAUAAUAAUGUGUUGUGGCUGUUCCUGCUAUUAAUCCCCCUUUUGUUUUGGUUUGUUUGCUACUAUAUAUAAAUUCAAGAACUUUUCCACCUUCUCUUAUUGAAUAAAUCCUUGAUCUAUAAGCUGCUGCCAAUUUGAAAAUUUGAAGAGUUGUUUGGGAGCUAUGAUGAGUAAAUGGUACAAAUUUCUGUCUUCCCUCUGUGGUUCCAGAACUUAAGGACAAAGUUCUCAUAGGGUCUUGAGUGAGUAAAGGAGCUUUUUCACCAUCAGCAAUUCUAUGUAUAUAAGGCUCAAAAUCUGCAUGAGAAGCAAGAGGAACCAUAGUAGCAUAAAGUGAUUCCAUAGCAUUUUCAUCUUGAAGUCUAAUAUCUCCAAGCCAUUUUUUUAGGUACUCAACACCAUGGUUGAGUUCAAGAAUCCGCCGAAGCGUCUGCCGCUGUACAGCGGCAGCAUUUUCGGCGGAUUUUUCGAACCAAUUGAUCAUUUCAUCAGUGUCAGUGUAAUAAUUGGACUUAUCUAGUG